rfam:Rhodoplanes sp. Z2-YC6860, complete genome.
UUGCCGGUCUCCACCGCCGGCUCGGGUAACCGAAGAGGCUUGUCCAUCCUUGCCAGCAGUGCGGUGCGGGGUCUCCCCAAUCCAAACCAAGGCAGACUGAAGCGGUCUGGAAGAGAUUACGCCCGACGUGCGUCCCCAUCGCGCACCAGGGCGAGCCUCGGACAA